AGCGGCGGACGGGUGAGUAACGCGUGGAUAACCUGCCUCACACAGGGGGAUAACAGUUAGAAAUGACUGCUAAUACCGCAUAAACGCACAGAACCGCAUGGUUCCGUGUGAAAAACUCCGGUGGUAUAAGAUGGACCCGCGUUGGAUUAGCUAGUUGGUGGGGUAACGGCCCACCAAGGCGACGAUCCAUAGCCGGCCUGAGAGGGUGAACGGCCACAUUGGGACUGAGACACGGCCCAGACUCCUACGGGAGGCAGCAGUGGGGAAUAUUGCACAAUGGGGGAAACCCUGAUGCAGCGACGCCGCGUGAAGGAAGAAGUAUCUCGGUAUGUAAACUUCUAUCAGCAGGGAAGAUAGUGACGGUACCUGACUAAGAAGCCCCGGCUAACUACGUGCCAGCAGCCGCGGUAAUACGUAGGGGGCAAGCGUUAUCCGGAUUUACUGGGUGUAAAGGGAGCGUAGACGGUGUGGCAAGUCUGAUGUGAAAGGCAUGGGCUCAACCUGUGGACUGCAUUGGAAACUGUCAUACUUGAGUGCCGGAGGGGUAAGCGGAAUUCCUAGUGUAGCGGUGAAAUGCGUAGAUAUUAGGAGGAACA
rnacentral:rRNA from 1 species